AAACUCUCAACAACGGAUCUCUUGGCUCUGGCAUCGAUGAAGAACGCAGCGAAAUGCGAUAAGUAAUGUGAAUUGCAGAAUUCAGUGAAUCAUCGAAUCUUUGAACGCACAUUGCGCCCGCCAGUAUUCUGGCGGGCAUGCCUGUUCGAGCGUCAUUAC
rnacentral:rRNA from 1 species